rnacentral:misc_RNA from 1 species
GUGGACUACUAGGGUUUCUAAUCCUGUUCGCUACCCAUGCUUUCGUGCCUCAGCGUCAGUUACCGCUCAGUAAGCCGCCUACGCUAUCGGGGUUCCUUAUGGUAUCUAUGCAUUUCACCGCUACACCAUAAAUUCCGCCUACCCCAACGGUACUCAAGGCGCCCAGUAUCAAUGGCAGUUCCACGGUUGAGCCGUGGGAUUUCACCGCUGACUUAAACGCCCGCCUACGCACCCUUUAAACCCAAUAAAUCCGGAUAACGCUCGGAUCCUCCGUAUUACCGCGGCUGCUGGCACC